AUGGCCUGGUCACAUAGGAGGUAUUUGGGUGGUGUUGCAGUUUGCGGUCCAGCAGCGAUCUUUAUUGGCCAACCAGUGGAAGAACUUGACGCGAGGAGGCGCCCAACUCUUCCAGAUCAGUUUUCAAGCAUCGCAUGCAGUGAAACCGUGGAAGGUGGCGCUGUAGCGGGAACUAGCGGUGUAAAUGCCUUCGGUGCUCCUUUUCCAGGUGUCCACAAAGCUUUUGAUUCCGUCUCUUGGGAUGCUAUGACUGCUAUUUUACUUGCCAAAGGCAUCCCUUUGCUUUGGGAUCACUGGAUCAACCUCAUAAACAACACUGCAAACUCUGCUAUUCUGCGAAAUGGGAAACCUGGCCCGUGGUUUCCUUGCCGGCGUGGUCUAAGACAAGGAGACCCUCUAUCACCCUUCCUUUUCAUUGUGGUCGCUGACGUGCUCCAACGCGUGAUC
rnacentral:rRNA from 1 species